CACGUAGGGUGCAAGCGUUGUCCGGAAUUAUUGGGCGUAAAGAGCUUGUAGGCGGUCUGUUACGUCUGCUGUGAAAACCCGGGGCUUAACCCUGGGCUUGCAGUGGAUACGGGCAGACUAGAGGCAGGUAGGGGAGAAUGGAAUUCCCGGUGUAGCGGUGAAAUGCGCAGAUAUCGGGAGGAACACCGGUGGCGAAGGCGGUUCUCUGGGCCUGACCUGACGCUGAGGAGCGAAAGCGUGGGGAGCGAACAGG
rnacentral:rRNA from 1 species